GGGCCCGUGGUAUAGUGGUAACACGCAUCCAUGGCAUGGAUGAGUCCGGGGUUCAAGUCCCCGCGGGUCCACCA
rnacentral:tRNA from 1 species